UCGAACCCUUUCCGAAUUAUUUCUCAGGCUUCGGAAAUUUGCAUACGACAGGGAAUCAUAUCGCCACUUCAGCUGUGGACUUUUUUGUCCAUUAUUCGCGUUGCUAUUUAUUAAGCGCAAGUAGAACUUAUCGUUUACUUGGACUUGAACAGCAACGGGUAGAUAACAAGGUACGGUCAGCUGCGAUACCAUGGGAGAACAAAAAAAAAGAAUAAUCAUCGACCACUAUGGUAAAUUGCAAAAAUUCGAAUUCCAUUUACUAGAUACGCAGCUUCCUUUCCAAAUAAUAUUUUAUUGCGAGCGACGUUACAUUUUUUCUGCUGUUUCUCCACUUAGCUUUUUUCGAAUGGAAGAGAGAGAAACGUUCGAAGAAGGAUGAGAAACUUGUCGGAUAAUCCAAAGGCUGAACAAGGUUGAGCAGUAACCUGCAAAAAUCUUACCAUGGUGGGGCAAAAAGGUCGUACGUUCCCUCUAGGUGGUGCAUGCAACGAGGGGAGGAAAGAUAGCUUUUUACACGGCUACUUUUUUCUCUCUCCCUUACCAUCACUUGUUCUCAGAGAUCGCGAAGGUGGUAGGGAUCGAAGCACGGUUUUUGCAUCGAGGGCUAAAGAGGGACUUGUACAUUUUACGUGCACGUCUACCACGUACGUAUUCGUGUACUUUAAAUUCGAGUCGUUAUGUAUGUAUUCGUAUGUACUUGUAUGUAUUCGUUUAUUAACAAACGAACAUAUCCAGGGCGCCAUGACCCGCGACAGAAGCCAAAAGUGACGAGAACGAACGUGAAAUAAAAAAUGAAAAAAAAACGCAUGGAAAUACGCCAACGCGACGUUCAUUUCACCUAUAAAGGCCUGAAUUGUACCAGAGGAUGAGUCGAGGAAUAAUCGUACAAGUAAGAAUUGCAGCGUUUAUUAAUUAUCGUAAUUUGGAAUAAUUCGAACGAACAUUUUCGUUCGCGGUAAUGCCCAUCGUUAGUUAUCGCCCCGAUGCUCGAAGUGGGGGUAGCCGUCCGAAGGGAGGGGAUAACUGCACGCGAUUGGGGGAAGUGGUGAGGGAAGCUCCGCACGUUGUGUGGUCCGGGAGAGGGGACAACGCGCAGCGGAAUGGAAUCACUCAUUCGAUGGCCGGCAACGCACCCGGCAAACAUCGUUCCGAGUGUCUCGGUGUCGUUCGAAGUUAUGAUACAUAACAAAAUCGUAGAGCAAUAUUUCCUACGCGCGAUUACAUUCGUACAUAAAUACGAUCCAAGUGUGGUUGUCUUCUCCAACGCGUAAAUCAUUAAUUCUUAUCGUUUUGCUUUUCCCUCGUUUUUUUUCGGAUCUCGUUUAACCUAAAUAAAUAGUAAACAUCUUUUCUUUCUUUUCAUCUACAAUCGUUCGUACCGGUUCAACGUAACUAUCCGCAAUGUCAAAGUAAUGCUGUCUAACCAACGAUCCGUGGCGAACAAUAUCGAGCCGCUUGUACCUUUAUCGAUAAACGGGCGUCGAAUGUGCGGUCGAAUCGUUAAACGCAUGGAUUUUUCGGUGUGCUGUGAGUGUCCACGAGGACGGUAGCUUCACAGUGUCGUCCCCUCGAAGAUGGAGAGUCGCGUGCUCGGUGGACCAGGAACGGAAGAGACGACAGUGGCGGCGACGACAACGUGUGCCAUCGGGACACCCUCUCCAGUACCAGCGGCGCCUAUCAACGCGGUUCCAGGCGUUGGCGGUACCGGCGCUCUUACCUCGGCCACUUGUACCAUUCAGAAUCCAGUGGUGGUCGUCGCGAGUACGCCGACCAAGCAUCAACAAUCCCCUGUCGUGCUGUCCUCUGUUCCCGCCAUCCCCACCGUGUCCGCUGUCACCACUGUCACCGCCUCCGUACCGAAGAUACUCAGCAGAAACGUCAACGGCACGCUGGUGCAGACAUCCGUCCCCCAGAAUGAAGCAGAACUGCAGCUGUACAGAGUCAUGCAGCGUGCUUCCCUGUUGAGCUACUACGACACGCUCUUGGAAAUGGGUGGCGACGACGUGCAGCAGUUAUGCGACGCCGGCGAGGAGGAGUUUCUAGAAAUCAUGGCGUUAGUCGGUAUGGCGAGCAAGCCUCUCCACGUCAGAAGGCUGCAGAAAGCCCUCCAGGAGUGGCUCACGAAUCCUUCACUUUUCCAGACGCCGGUGGUACCGACGAGCGCUACGUGCAAGAAUCCUGCAGGCAUAGGGUUCCCGUGCGUCAGUCCUAGGCCUCAAGUACAAAAUCUUCAGGGUUUCACGACAAGCUCGCAAACGCCUACCCCAACGCCGUACGUCUCGUCACAUGUAUCCCUAACGCCGUUGCCGUGCAGAAGCACCAGUCCCAUUGUUUCGGUUACGAGCGUGACCGCACCGGUUCCCUCGACCACUUUUCGUCAGAGCCCAAGCCCUAACGCGCCUCUAGCUUACGCAGCCUCUCACAGCCCUGGGACCACAAACCUCUCACUACAGGUAGGAACGUGCGAGUCUUCCUGCGGCAGCGGCACGACGCCGAGUCCUAGCGACGGCGGUGGUGCACCUGCGAGUCCCACGCAACCGACACCCACCCUCUUACAAUCGCAGAUACAAAGACUCGCCGAGGCAGCCGAAAGGCUCGCCGCUACCAUUCGACCUGUGGACCCGAAGCCUCAUAACGUGAAGAAGAAGAUUUGCAAAAAUCUAGAGAUGGUAAUGGCUAUGCCUGAUAGCGAUCCGCGCAGAAUGGAGGAGAUUCGAAAGUACGCGGCGAUUUAUGGGAGGUUCGACUGUAAAAGGAAGCCGGAGAAACCGCUGACGUUGCACGAAGUGUCGGUAAACGAAGCUGCCGCGCAAAUUUGCAGGUUCGUACCUGCCCUUCUUACUAGAAGAGACGAACUUUUUCCUUUGGCCCGCCGUGUUGUGAGAGAUUCUGGGUAUCAUUAUUCGAAAAGUCAUUACUUGUCCGUAUCAAGGCUGCGUGAAAAUGGCGAAGAAAAUGAGAGCGAUCAUACGAAACGACAAAAGCUCGAACUCGAGGGUGAGAAUGAAGAUGUGACGCAGGUUAGCUCACCGCGACCAUAAGAAUAAGCCACGUGCGGGUCGUUCCAGUUCAAAGUCGUCACAGACUUAGGGCGAGACACAGAGAAGCAUACUUCAAAAUCCUUGAUUGGAUCCCCGAUUUGUGAUAGCUUCGAUCUGGGAUCGUUGGCCUAUUAACGAGCUACUCGCAUGAGCGCUAACCGCUAAUACGCAUCCAGCACGUAGACAAUUGCAACACUUGCGUAAACUACCAAUCGCAGCCAGAAAAGGUCAAGUAUAGCUUUUGCAUAACAUGCAUGGCUUUGCACGCAAAUUAAACAAAUCAUUAACAAUUAGUUAUCGUAAUUGUAAAAUAUUCUGUUUAUAAUUGUACCAUCUUAGAGGAUAUUCAAAUUUUUAUUUUAAAUGUAGAGUAAGCUAUGAUAACAUUAUUAUUAUUAUUAUUAUUGUAAUUGUAACACUUUCUUUCACACUCGUUAGGAUUCGAUGCUUCGUUCCUAGUGUCCUCACGAGUCGUGUACGCUUCUUUCUUUCUUUCCAAUAUUUAUAAUUACGCCAAUUGUGUUAGUAAUAAAUUCAUCUUUUUUCUGUUGUUUUUCGUGCUGUGUUUGCCAUUUCUACUGUCUUUAGCAGUUCACUGUUCUAGGAGGAGUUGGACCUUCGCUGUUCCGAGAUGGAUAUUAGCAACUCGACGCGCAGGAGACAUCAGUCGUCGAGUCCAGUUUGGAGGAAGAAGAAUAACAACGGUAUGUUUAGCGCGAGUAUCGAAGAGAUCAGUGAUUCCGAUAGUCAACUU